CUCCCCUCUUUCACUUUACCAAUUAGACACAUCAUGUCUUUAUUGGUCAUUCAAGUGGGGUAGAAGAAAUAUCCUUUUAAAACUCAAGCAAACUGGUUGUUUGUCUUGCAUCCUGUCAGAGGAAACAAUC
rnacentral:snoRNA from 15 species